CCCGCGAGCGGAAGUGACGUGCCAUGUCACUUCACUGCGUGGCUGCCAGGCUCCUGGGCGUCGCUCGUGAGCCCUGCGCUCGACUGGUCGCGGGCUCCCCAGUGUUGGGCGCCGGGCUUGGAAGCGCCCCCGAUUAAGGCUAGAUGGCACUAGAAUCCCAGGUGACACUACCGUAAGAAGAGAUGAUGAAGAACCAACAUGAGGGAAGUGAAAAGUUCUAUAAAUUGAGAUCUUCAGGGAUCCCGGGUUAUAACUGGCAACACUUUACUUCACUCCCUGUUGAAUAAAACCAAUAUAUCAGGGAAGCUUUUGACAGUACUGCAUGAUCUGGCCCUCCCUGCUUGUCUGGAUUAUCCUUCCUUCCCUGACUCCCAUGUUUCAAACACUCAGGAUUGCUGCUAUUUGUAA